AUGAUACGCGAGGAACCGUUUAACCUGGGUUUAAAUGCAGGACGCAAGUCACGUGAAAGCGAGACCCUCCUUCGGGACGGACUGCAAGGUGCUGCAUGGUUGUCGUCAGCUCGUGCCGUGAGGUGUCGGGUUAAGUCCCAUAACGAGCGCAACCCUCAUCGUUAGUUACCAGCGGAUCAUGCCGGGGACUCUAACGAGACUGCCACCGUAAGGUGAGAGGAAGGUGGGGAUGACGUCAAAUCAGCACGGCCCUUAUAUCCAGGGCUACACACGUGUUACAAUGGCCAGUACAAAGGGCAGCUACCUGGUGACAGGAUGCUAAUCUCGAAAACUGGUCUCAGUUCGGAUCGAAGUCUGCAACUCGACUUCAUGAAGUCGGAAUCGCUAGUAAUCGCGGAUCAGAACGCCGCGGUGAAUACGUUCUCGGGGUUU
rnacentral:rRNA from 1 species